ensembl:lncRNA novel transcript
GAAAACUGAACAUGCAUCUAUAAAAUGCAUUGAACAUCAAGCUUAAUUUGCUUUUCUGACUAAUCUACAUAAAUAAAGUUUCUCUCUGAUAGUUGCUGCAGCUAGUAAAAAUGACUGUAUAGAUGUUCUUAAAUUUAGGAAGCCUCCUUAGGAUAAUUUGAUUUAAAAUCUAGGCUAUUUCUCAAGUACGAAAUUCACUUAGAGAAGACCCAGUAAACCUCUUAAAGAGAUGUCUUCAGUGGAACUUAAAGCAUUGAUCUGCACAGAGCUGCUCUCACACUGCAACUGCAUCCAGUUUGCUUCUAGGAUUUUCUUCUACCUUGAAAAACUGCACAUAGUGAAGAGUUUCUUUGCCUUAUUCCUGCAGUCUUAACAUGUCCUACUGAGUAAAGCAUCUGGAAACAUAAGGAGCUUAUGAAGUCCUUGCAGCAGAGUUGAAGGAGCCUCAGAUGUGAUUGGAGGUCAUUGGGAAACACUGUGGGUCUUCUCUGUCUGGCCUUGAAGCACUGCCAUUAUGUCUGCAGCACUUCCACUGCUGGAUCUUUGAAAUUUUGAAGAGCUUCUGGGUCAUUCUCUAUGAAGUAGUUUGGAUAUUCGUCCCCUCCAAAUGUCAUAUUGAAAUGUGACCUCCAAUUUUGGAGGUGGACCUAGUGGGAGGCGUUUGGGUCAUGCGUUGGAUCCUUCAUGAAUGGCUUGGUGUCCUCCCUAUGGAACAAGCUCUGAAGUCUUGAUCCAAAACAGACAAGGCUUUAAUAUGAAAGCAUUUUUCUUUGAAGAAGUUCACCCUGAAGCCUUGGCCCAAUGAUCUCAGAAGAUGAGAGAGAAUGGCAAACCAAAAACUCUGAGUGAGUUUGAAAGUGGAUCUUCUGAAGCCUUCCAACAGUCAUGUGUGGAAUCUGGAAGUGCAUUUUUGAGGCUUUCCCAUAGCCAUCUGAGUGAGCUGGGCUUACAUAUCUGAAAUUCAGUUGAAUUCAGACAAAAUUCAAGUGAUAUAGUGAAACGGAGUUUGUGAUGUCAACUUGCCUAAGGACAAUUUCCUAAAUUGAACACUCUUUCAUGGAAAAAAGUAAAUUGGAACCUGCACUUGUGAGGCUUGGAAACUACCACCUAAGAUGUUUAAAAGGAAAACUGUCGUUUGCCUCAAAAUGUUUAUCCUUGGGAAGGAAUCAAUAUUGUGCUGACUUUCUCCCCAUACCUAAGUUGGCUUUGCUCCAAUAGUAUUAUUUCCCUCUUUACAAAGUAAAAGUCCAAACAAAAAAACUGUUACUUAAAUAAGUUCCUCUCUAAUUUAUUUGUUCCCCAAUGUCACCAGCUCAAAGACAUUUACAAUAAACUCCAUAUUGGAAAUUGCAAAUCUUUCCACAUUGCUAGCACUCAUGGUCACUUUAUAAAUUAUGUAUUUCUUCUUUCAUUGUUUCAUGUGCUUAUAUAUAUGUGCAUGUGUAUAUAUAUACAUAUACACACACACACAACAUACCUGUUCAAACAUUUAUUGUUUACUAUUAAUAUUGUUUGGCUCUAUGUCCCCACUCAUAUCUCAUCUCGAAUUGUAAUCCCCACACAUCAAGGGAGGGACCUGGUGGGAGGUGACUGUAUCAUGGGGGGUGGAUUCCCCCAUGCUGUUCUUAUGAUGGUGAGAUAGUUCUCACAAGAUCCGGUGGUUUAAAAGUGUUUGGCAGUUCCCUCCUCACUCUCCCUCUCUUGUCGCCUUAUGAAGAAGGUCCUUGCCUCCCCUUUACCUUCCACCAUGAUUGUAAGUUUCCUGAGGCC